GAUUAAUAUAAUCCUUUUUAGUUUUUUUCAGAUGAUUUGCUUGCAAAAAACACCACGAAUCUCCUUGUUUUGGUAUCCGGAAGAGUUGGUUCCGCAGCUCCCCUCGACUGCAAACACAAUGGUCUUUUUGGUGCUUUUGUUGAGGAAAAGGCUAAACUGGAUUGUAUGAUCGAGUUGGACGGUGGUAGUUUGAUAGAGAAGUCUCUAACGAUUCUGUUACAUCAAAAGGAGACUCCUUGGUAUCUUGUUGUAAGAUACAUUCUAGCGUUCAUUUGCUACUUUUUCCCGUAACUUAUCCCUCCCUCCUUAAUUGGUUAUUCCUCUCUCUCACAUUUAGGAAGACUGUAGGGGUCAGGUGAAUGUAGUAAAAAUUCAAGAUGAUCUAGGAUUUAAUAGUACUAGAUGAGUACCCACGCUAUGCGUGGGUUUGUUGUGAAAAUUGUUAAGAAAAAUUUAUAUUGAUUGUUCUUUAUGCUAAUUUAUAUUUACUAUUUGUUUAUUCUUGUAUUGUUAAGAAAAUUAGAUCCAUAAUAUGUAGUUACAAUUUUUAUGGUUAGAUUCAUUUGUAACUCGAAAUAUCAAUUUAUAUAUUUUUGUGUAUAAAA